UACAGAGGUCUCAAGCGUUGUUCGGAAUCAUUGGGCGUAAAGCGCGUGUAGGCGGUCCGGUAAGUCCGCUGUGAAAGUCGAGGGCUCAACCCUCGAAUGCCGGUGGAUACUGUCGGGCUAGAGUACGGAAGAGGCGAGUGGAAUUCCUGGUGUAGCGGUGAAAUGCGUAGAUAUCUGGAGGAACACCGGUGGCGAAGGCGGCAUCCUGGACCGGUAUUGACGCUGAGGCGCGAAAGCCAGGGGAGCAAACGGGG
rnacentral:rRNA from 1 species